AUACAUGCAAGUCGAGCGGACCUUUUAAAAGCUUGCUUUUGAAAGGUCAGCGGCGGACGGGUGAGUAACACGUGGGCAACCUGCCUGUAAGACUGGGAUAACUUCGGGAAACCGGAGCUAAUACCGGAUAAUAUAAGGAACCUCCUGGUUCUUUAUUGAAAGAUGGUUUCGGCUAUCACUUACAGAUGGGCCCGCGGCGCAUUAGCUAGUUGGUGAGGUAAUGGCUCACCAAGGCGACGAUGCGUAGCCGACCUGAGAGGGUGAUCGGCCACACUGGGACUGAGACACGGCCCAGACUCCUACGGGAGGCAGCAGUAGGGAAUCUUCCACAAUGGACGAAAGUCUGAUGGAGCAACGCCGCGUGAGCGAUGAAGGCCUUCGGGUCGUAAAGCUCUGUUGUUAGGGAAGAACAAGUGCGAGAGUAACUGCUCGCACCUUGACGGUACCUAACCAGAAAGCCACGGCUAACUACGUGCCAGCAGCCGCGGUAAUACGUAGGUGGCAAGCGUUGUCCGGAAUUAUUGGGCGUAAAGCGCGCGCAGGUGGUCCUUUAAGUCUGAUGUGAAAGCCCACGGCUCAACCGUGGAGGGUCAUUGGAAACUGGGGGACUUGAGUGCAGAAGAGGAAAGUGGAAUUCCAAGUGUAGCGGUGAAAUGCGUAGAGAUUUGGAGGAACACCAGUGGCGAAGGCGACUUUCUGGUCUGUAACUGACACUGAGGCGCGAAAGCGUGGGGAGCAAACAGGAUUAGAUACCUGGUAGUCCACGCCGUAAACGAUGAGUGCUAAGUGUUAGAGGGUUUCCGCCCUUUAGUGCUGCAGCUAACGCAUUAAGCACUCCGCCUGGGGAGUACGGUCGCAAGACUGAAACUCAAAGGAAUUGACGGGGGCCCGCACAAGCGGUGGAGCAUGUGGUUUAAUUCGAAGCAACGCGAAGAACCUUACCAGGUCUUGACAUCCUCUGACACUCCUAGAGAUAGGACGUUCCCCUUCGGGGGACAGAGUGACAGGUGGUGCAUGGUUGUCGUCAGCUCGUGUCGUGAGAUGUUGGGUUAAGUCCCGCAACGAGCGCAACCCUUGAUCUUAGUUGCCAGCAUUCAGUUGGGCACUCUAAGGUGACUGCCGGUGACAAACCGGAGGAAGGUGGGGAUGACGUCAAAUCAUCAUGCCCCUUAUGACCUGGGCUACACACGUGCUACAAUGGACGGUACAAAGGGCAGCAAAACCGCGAGGUCGAGCCAAUCCCAUAAAACCGUUCUCAGUUCGGAUUGCAGGCUGCAACUCGCCUGCAUGAAGCCGGAAUCGCUAGUAAUCGCGGAUCAGCAUGCCGCGGUGAAUACGUUCCCGGGCCUUGUACACACCGCCCGUCACACCACGAGAGUUUGUAACACCCGAAGUCGGU
rnacentral:rRNA from 1 species